rnacentral:rRNA from 1 species
GUUUGAUCCUGGCUCAGAGCGAACGUUAGCGGCAGGCUUAACACAUGCAAGUCGAGCGAGAAAGGGGCUUCGGCUCCGAGUAAAGCGGCGGACGGGUGCGUAACACGUGGAUAAUCUGCCUCGUGGCGGGGACAACAGUCCGAAAGGACUGCUAAUACCGCAUGUCAGGUCGGAAACUCCGGUUUCUGACGAAAAGAGGGCGUCCGCAAGGAGCUCUCACCACGAGAUGAGUCCGCGUCCCAUCAGCUAGUUGGCGGUGUAAUGGACCACCAAGGCUUAGACGGGUAGCUGGUCUGAGAGGAUGACCAGCCACACUGGGACUGAGACACGGCCCAGACUCCUACGGGAGGCAGCAGUGGGGAAUAUUGGACAAUGGGCGAAAGCCUGAUCCAGCCAUGCCGCGUGAGUGAUGAAGGCCUCGGUCGUAAGACUCUGUGGGGA